UACGUAGGGGGCAAGCGUUGUCCGGAUUUACUGGGCGUAAAGAGCGUGUAGGCGGCCAAGCAGGUCCGUUGUGAAAACUGGAGGCUUAACCUCCAGACGUCGACGGAAACCGCGCGGCUAGAGUCCGGAAGAGGAGAGUGGAAUUCCUGGUGUAGCGGUGAAAUGCGCAGAUAUCAGGAAGAACACCCGUGGCGAAAGCGGCUCUCUGGGACGGUACUGACGCUGAGACGCGAAAGCGUGGGGAGCGAACAGG
rnacentral:rRNA from 1 species